CAAGUCGAACGGGACUCUUCGGAGUCUAGUGGCGGACGGGUGAGUAACGCGUGAGAAUCUGCCUAGAGGAUGGGGACAACCACGGGAAACGGUGGCUAAUACCCAAUGAGCGGAGACGUUAAAGAUUUAUCGCCUCUAGAGGAGCUCGCGUCUGAUUAGCUAGUUGGUGGGGUAAAAGCCUACCAAGGCGACGAUCAGUAGCUGGUCUGAGAGGACAACCAGCCACACUGGGACUGAGACACGGCCCAGACUCCUACGGGAGGCAGCAGUGGGGAAUUUUCCGCAAUGGGCGAAAGCCUGACGGAGCAAUACCGCGUGAGGGAGGAAGGCUCUUGGGUCGUAAACCUCUUUUCUCAGGGAAGAAGAAAGUGACGGUACCUGAGGAAUCAGCCUCGGCUAACUCCGUGCCAGCAGCCGCGGUAAUACGGAGGAGGCAAGCGUUAUCCGGAAUUAUUGGGCGUAAAGCGUCCGUAGGUGGCUCUUCAAGUCUGCUGUUAAAGAGUGGGGCUUAACCCUGCCAAGGCAGUGGAAACUGAAAGGCUAGAGAGCCGUAGGGGUAGAGGGAAUUCCCGGUGUAGCGGUGAAAUGCGUAGAGAUCGGGAAGAACAUCGGUGGCGAAAGCGCUCUACUGGACGGUAUCUGACACUGAGGGACGAAAGCUAGGGGAGCGAAUGGGAUUAGAUACCCCAGUAGUCCUAGCCGUAAACGAUGGAUACUAGGCGUGGCUUGUAUCGACCCGAGCCGUGCCGGAGCUAACGCGUUAAGUAUCCCGCCUGGGGAGUACGCACGCAAGUGUGAAACUCAAAGGAAUUGACGGGGGCCCGCACAAGCGGUGGA
rnacentral:rRNA from 1 species